rnacentral:lncRNA from 1 species
AUCAUUUUUAUUCCCCAAAGGCAUUUAAAAUACGAGCUCUUAUAUUCAGGCUUUAAUUUCUGUCUUCCCCCAUUUUGAGGAUUUUUUUUUUUUUUUUUUUUUUAGGGCUUCAAAUACCCGUGUGUAUUUGCAGUUAAACUGGUUUUAAACUAGCUUCUAUUUGGAAUUCAGAAAAGCAAGGAAGAAAACAUGAUAUUUUUCUCAUCCAUUCAGAAAUAUUAUUGGGAAUUUUGCAUUGGAAUCACAGAGAGCCGGACAGCUUUCCUGGGGAUGGGAUUUUGUUGGACUCGGGCCGGUACUAAUUGAGGAAACAGCUCCCUCCUUCUGUUCCCUACUCCAACCAGAGAAUAAUCAGGUGACUUAUAUAUCUCUA